rnacentral:lncRNA from 1 species
AUGCGUAACGAUAUGACAUCACGCGAUAUGACAUCACACAGUAUUUGGUGUUUGUUCAGUCAACACUCCAUUUUUUUGCUACCUUCCACCCCUCUUUCACUGUGCUUUUCUACACUCACCCUCUUUCUCCAUAUCCUUCUGUCUCUCUCUCUCUCUCCCUCCCCUCUAUGUCUCUCUCUCCCUCCCCUCUCUGUCUCUCUCUCCCUCCCCUCUGUCUUUCUGUCUCUCUCUGUCUCUCUCUCUCUCUCUCUACCCCCUCGGUCCACUGUCAGUGUGGAGGUAGGAGGGGGGCUGUCACACCCGUCCCCCUCCAGUCCCACCCUGGAGGAGAGGAGGAGACCAGGUACCCUGCUCAUCUGGCAGGAGAGAGAGAGAAUCCAUCAGCAGAGAGACAACACGGCCAGAGACAAUGGUUUACUGAAGAUUACAACGGCCAAAACAGGAAGUAAUGUGGCGACGCUGUCACAGACAGGAAGUAGCUCGAGGUAAGAGACCUUAAAUCUUACACGAACCAAACUAGUCCAGGGAGAGAAGAGAGAAAGAGAAAGACUUUUCCUGCCUGAAUCGAAGCGACGUGUGAAAUGUUCAUUUAGGCUGCAUUUAGACAGGCAGCCCAAUUCAGAUUUUUUUUUUUGUUCCAGCAGUUGGUCUUUGGACCAAUCACAUCAGAUAUUUUUCAGAGCUGAUCUGAUUGGUCAAAAGACCAAUUAGUUGGUAAAAGAUCAGAAAUUGUUCGGUCUGUCUAAGCGCCGGCGCAUUUCUUUUGUCAAAGCUCCUGUUCUGUUUAUUAGUAGCAGAUGCAUGAGCACGUGCCUGAUUUGUGGUUUGGGGAUUUUCUUUCUGAACGUGCUCUGUCUCCCCCUAGUGGUAGCUCACCAGAGAACAACCACUCCCAGAACGGGCUCAGACAACGAUGUGCGGUCAGUCUUUCAUGAAGCUCUUUACGCUUUCAUCUCUCUUGUAAUAUAUAUAUUUUUUCACUUCAUAUUUGUCAUGAUGGGAAUUGUGUUACUAUUUAGUAUCAGCAGUAUAAUUCAUAGCCUGGUCACGGAUCGGUCGGCCCCUCCUCCUAUAGCCUGGUCACGGAUCGGUCGGCCCCUCCUCCUAUAGCCCGGUCCCAGGUCGUCGGCCCCUCCUCCUAUAGGCCCGGUCCCAGGGUCGUCGGCCCCUCCUCACUUGCCCGGUUCCCAGGUCCGUCGGCCCCUCCUCCUAUAGCCCGGUCCCAGGUCGUCGGCCCCUCCUCCAUAGCCCGUCCCAGGUCGUCGGCCCUCCUCCUAUAGCCGGUAAGGCCCAGGGUCGGGCCCUCCAUAUAAGCCGGUCCAGGUCGUCGGCCUCCUCCUAUAGCCGGUCCCAGGUCGGCCCCCUCCUAUAGCCCGGUCCCAGGUCGUCGGCCCCUCCUCCUAUAGCCCGGUCCCAGGUCGUCGGCCCCUCCUCCUAUAGCCCGUCCCAGGCGUCGCCCCUCUAGCCCCGUCCCUGUCGUGGCCCUCCUCCUAUAGCCCGGUCCCAGGUCGUCGGCCCUCCUCCUAUAGCCCGGUCCCCAGGUCGUCGGCCCCUCCUCCUAUAGGCCGGUCCCAGGUCGUCGUGCCCCUCCUCAUAUAAGCCCGGUCCCAGGUCGUCGCCCCUCCUCCUAUAGCCCGGUCCCAGGUCGUCGGCCCCUCCUCCUAUAGCCCGGUCCCAGGUCGUCGGCCCCUCCUCCUAUAGCCCGGUCCCGGUCGUCGGCCCCUCCUAUAUAGCCCGGUCCCAGGUCGUCGGCCCCUCUCUAUAGCCCGUGUCCCAGGUCGUCGGCCCCUCCUCCUAUAGCCCGGUCCCAGGUCGUCGGCCCCUCCCCCUAUAGCCCGGUCCCAGGUCGUCGGCCCUCCUCCUAAGCCGGUCCCGUCGGUCGGCCCUCCUCCUAUAGCCGCGGUCCCAGGUCGCGGCCCCUCCUCCUAUAGCCCGCGUCCCAGGUGUCUGGGCCCUCCUCCUAUAGCCCGGUCCCAGGUCGUGGGCCCCUCCUCUCCUAUAAGCCCGGUCCCAGGUCGUGGGCCCCUCCUCCUAUAAGCCCGGUCCCAGGUCCGUGGGCCCCUCUCCUAUAGCCCGGUCCCAGGUCGUUGGGCCCCUCCUCCUAUAGCCCCGGUCCCAGGUCGUGGGCCCCUCCUCCUAUAGCCCGGGGUCCCAGGUCGUGUGGGCCCUCCUCCCUAUAGCCCGGUCCCAGUCGUGGGCCCCCUCUAUAGCCCGUCCAGGUCGUGGCCCCCUCCUAUAGCCCGGUCCCCAGGUCGUGGGCCCCUCCUCCUAUAGCCGGUCCCAGGUCGUGGCCCCUCCUCCUAUAGCCCGGUCCCAGGUCGUGGCCCCUCCUCCUAUAGCCCGGUCCCAGGUCGUGGGCCUCCUCCUAUAGCCCCGCGUCCCAGGUCGGGGCCCUCCUCCUAUAGCCCGCGUCCCAGGUCGUGGGCCCCUCCUCCUAUAGCCCGGUCCCGGUCGUGGGCCCCUCUCCUAAGCCGCGUCCCAGGUCGUGGCUGCCUCUCCUAUAGCCCAGUCCCAGGUCGCCUCCCUUAUCCCGUCCCAGGUCGCCUCCUCCUAUAGCCCCGUUCCAGGUCGCCUCCUCCUAUGCCCCUCCCAGGUCGCCUCCUCCUAUAGCCCCUCCCAGUCGCCUCCUCCUAUAGCCCCGUCCCCAGGUCGCCUCCUCCUACGCCCGUCCCAGGUCGCCUCCUCCUUAGCCCCCUUCCCCGGUCGCCUCCUCCUAUAGCCCCGUCCCAGGUCGUCGGCCCUCCUCCUAUAGCCCCGGUCCAGUUCACCCAGUGUAUAUCCACAACCCUGAGUAAAUCAUGUAUGUAAUUACCUCACUUCCCCUUCAACAGAGUGCAGAUCAGAUGUUCACUGUCUCAAACGGCACCGGUUCAGCGCUCUGUUAGCCGAUCAGGUACACGCCAAUACAGUUCACCUGCAAUCUCCAAUCUCCUAAAGUACGACAAGCCGAUGUAGUUAACACAACGUGUGUGUGUUUUAUUCAGACGUUCCGUCUCCCCUCCAGGCCUGAGUCAGAAACCACACAGUUUCCUCUUCCGCACCUCAUCCCGCUGCAGCGGCAAGAGUCAGUUCUCCCAUUCUCAGGCUCCACACAAGUAUGGUGGAGCAGGCCGCUCUGAGUUCUCGUCCUCCGUGUUGAGGCCAGAU